rnacentral:rRNA from 1 species
CACGUAGGGGACGAGCGUUGUUCGGAUUCACUGGGCGUAAAGGGUGCGUAGGUGGUGGGGUAAGUCGGAUGUGAAAGCUCGGAGCUCAACUCCGAAAUGGCAUUGGAAACUACCCUGCUAGAGGAUUGGAGGGGGGACUGGAAUACUUGGUGUAGCAGUGAAAUGCGUAGAUAUCAAGUGGAACACCAGUGGCGAAGGCGAGUCCCUGGACAAUACCUGACACUGAGGCACGAAAGCUAGGGGAGCAAACAGG